rnacentral:lncRNA from 1 species
UUUUUUGAUAAUCAAAAAAUUGAAUUAUAAGGAGUACAAGGGGUACUCAUCCCUUACAAUUCAAAUAAAAUCACCCUGGACAGACUAAAGGAUUGUUACACCAGUCAAAAAAUGCUAAAUUAGCAUUAUUCCCUAAUCGGCCUAAAAACCAAAACCAAUAAAUGUAAAUAAUUUUGUUCACUAAAGAAGAUACAUUAACCCAAUCUCCUCUAAAUACAAUAUUAUUUCGAAAGCACCCAGUUAACAUCUUUGUGCCCCCCAUAGGUUGUUAAUGAGAAAAUCAUCGCUUUCUUUGUUUCUUGAAGUAAACAAACAUCGAAAACACCUUUUUGAAGAAACGAACUCAACUGCCGCUGUUUAGCACUUUCACCCCACCCUCUCAUAUUCAAAGAGACGAUCUUCAUUGAUGGAGAGAUUGUUGUUGCUCCCUUCUAAAU